ensembl:lncRNA
CCCCUGGUACAGUCUGCUGAUGAUGGGGUUACACACCUGCUCCAACUCCUUCCUCUUGUGCUCAAACUCAUCCUUCUCCGCCAAGGUGUUGGCGUCCAGCCAGGAGAUCACCUCCUGGCACUUAUCCAGCACCUUCUUCUUGUCCGCCUCGCUGAUCUUGCCCUUCAGCCCCUCAUCCUCCACGGCGCUCUUCAUGUUGAAGGCGUACGACUCCAGCGCGUUCUUGGCAGACACCCUCUCGCGCUGGACCUCGUCCUCCGCCUUGUACUUCUCCGCCUCCUGCACCAUGCGCUCGAUCUCCUCCUUGCUCAGCCGGCCCUUGUCGUUGGUGAUGGUGAUCUUGUUGGCCUUGCCCGUGCUCUUGUCCGUGGCCGUGACGUUCAGGAUGCCAUUGGCGUCGAUGUCGAAGGUCACCUCGAUCUGGGGCACCCCCCGGGGGGCCGGCGGGAUGCCGCUCAGCUCGAAGCGUCCCAGCAGGUUGUUGUCCCGCGUCAUGGCCCUCUCGCCCUCGUACACCUGGAUCAGCACGCCCGGCUGGUUGUCCGAGUAGGUGGUGAAGAUCUGCGUCUGCUUCGUGGGGAUGGUGGAGUUGCGCUUGAUCAGGGCGGUCAUCACGCCUCCGGCCGUCUCCAGCCCCAGCGACAGGGGAGCCACGUCCAGCAGCAGCAGGUCCUGCACGUUCUCCGACUUGUCCCCCAUCAGGAUGGCCGCCUGCACCGCCGCCCCGUAUGCCACCGCCUCGUCGGGGUUGAUGCUCUUGUUGAGGUCGCGCCCGUUGAAGAAGUCCUGCAGCAGCUUCUGCACCUUGGGGAUGCGGGUGGAGCCCCCCACCAGGACCAGGUCGUGGAUCUGCGCCUUGUCCAGCUUGGCGUCGCGCAGAGCCUUCUCCACGGGCUCCAGGGUGCUCCGGAACAGGUCGGAGCACAGCUCCUCGAACCGCGCCCUGGUGAUGGACGUGUAGAAGUCGAUGCCCUCGAACAGGGAGUCGAUCUCCAGGCUGGCCUGGGUGCUGGACGACAAGGUCCUCUUGGCCCGCUCGCACGCCGUGCGCAGCCGCCUCACGGCCCGCUUGUUCUGGCUGAUGUCCUUCUUGUGCUUCCUCUUGAACUCCUCCACGAAGUGGUUCACCAGCCUGUUGUCGAAGUCCUCCCCGCCCAGGUGCGUGUCCCCGGCCGUGGCCUUCACCUCGAAGAUGCCGUCGUCGAUCGUCAGGAUGGACACGUCGAACGUACCCCCGCCGAGGUCAAAGAUGAGCACGUUGCGCUCCCCCUUGCCCGUCCUGUCCAGGCCGUAGGCGAUGGCGGCGGCCGUGGGCUCGUUGAUGAUCCUCAGCACGUUCAGCCCCGCGAUCACCCCCGCGUCCUUGGUGGCCUGCCGCUGCGAGUCGUUGAAGUAGGCCGGCACGGUGAUCACCGCGUUGGUCACCGGGUGGCCCAGGUACGCCUCGGCGAUCUCCUUCAUCUUGGUCAACACCAUCGACGAGAUCUCCUCCGGGUAGAACGCCUUGGUCUCCCCCUUGUAGCUCACCUGCACCUUAGGCUUGUCUCCGUCGUUGAUCACGCGGAAAGGCCAGUGCUUCAUGUCCGACUGCACCACCGGGUCGCCGAACUUGCGGCCGAUCAGCCGCUUCGCGUCGAACACGGUGUUCUGCGGGUUCAGCGCCACCUGGUUCUUGGCCGCAUCGCCGAUGAGCCGCUCGGUGUCUGUGAAGGCCACAUAGCUGGGGGUGGUGCGGUUGCCCUGGUCGUUGGCGAUGAUCUCCACCUUGCCGUGCUGGAACACCCCUACGCAGGAGUAGGUGGUGCCCAGGUCGAUGCCGAUGGCCGUGUUUUUCGCCAUGCCGGUGCUCUGCCUCUUCGACUACGAGAUGAGCUUCAAACCUCAAAACGGCCGACGGGAUCCGCGACGAGAAGCUCGGGCUUUUCGGAACCCGAAAGCUGAACGCGCCGGUGCGGCUCGAGGAGGUCCUUGGAGACAGCGGGUCUGCGGAAGCUGUUCUCACGGACUAAGCCGCAAGUUUUAUCAGCUCUCUCCAGGCUGCUGUUUUUUCUCAGGCGGCUCUGUGUUUAUAAUUCUUCAUCAAGCCCCGCCUUUUUCCUCCUCAGCCAAUGACCGAGCUCAGUGGGGCUGCCAGGUCGGGAAUAUUCCAGGGGUUUCGCCUCAAGUCCUGCCCCCUGGCUUUCUGGGACCAAUCAGCGCCCUGGAUGCCACUCCUCCC